UUUGUUUAGUUUUAAUUCAAUCAUUGCCUAGAUCACUUAUAUUUUAAACAUGAAGUUAUUAAAAAUUUCUCAAGUUGUAUUAAUUUUUGCCAUUAUAUUGGGUUUAUUAGGUGAUCUUAGCAUGGCUGCGCCCAAGAAAAAAUCUAAAAAGAAGACAUUGCCCAAAAUUGAAAUAAAUGCCAAUUUAAAACUCAAAAUUGGUGGAUAAUUGUUAAGGCCACGAAUGAAAUAUGUUUAAAAUUGUAUAUUUGUGUCUUAAUUAAAAUUUUGUUAUCUUUAAAUAGUCUAUUUAAAUAAAUAAUACUUUAUGUUUUUAA